rnacentral:rRNA from 1 species
GACGAACGCUGGCGGCGUGCUUAACACAUGCAAGUCGAGCGGAAAGGCCCUUCGGGGUACUCGAGCGGCGAACGGGUGAGUAACACGUGAGUAAUCUGCCCUUCACUCUGGGAUAGCCACCGGAAACGGUGAUUAAUACCGGAUACGACCAAUCACUGCAAGGGGUGUUGGUGGAAACUUUUUUGGGUGGGGGAGGUGCUCGCGGCCUAUCAGCUUGUUGGUGGGGUAAUGGCCUACCAAGGCUUCGACGGGUAGCCGGCCUGAGAGGGUGACCGGCCACACUGGGACUGGGACACGGCCCAGACUCCUACGGGAGGCAGCAGUGGGGAAUAUUGGACAAUGGGCGGAAGCCUGAUCCAGCAACGCCGCGUGAGGGAUGACGGCCUUCGGGUUGUAAACCUCUUUCAGCACCGACGAAGGGCAAGUGACGGUAGGUGCAGAAGAAGGACCGGCCAACUACGUGCCAGCCGCCGCAGUAACAC